rnacentral:rRNA from 1 species
AACAUCGCCCUUUGAAAAAAUAAUUAUAAAGGGUACUGCCUGCCCAGUGAUAAAAAUUAAACGGCCGCGGUACUUUGACCGUGCAAAGGUAGCAUAAUCAUUUGUUCUUUAAUUGAGGACUAGUAUGAAAGGCAAAACGAAAGCUUAACUGUCUCCUUUUUAAAAAAUGAAAUUAAUAUUUUUGUGAAGAAGCAAAAAUAAUAAAGUAAGACGAGAAGACCCUGUCGAGCUUAAGAAAAUUUUUAUAAUAAAAUUUUUAAAAGAUAAACAAAUUCUACUACAAAAAUAAAAUAAAAAUAUCUUUGGUUGGGGCAACCACGAAGAAAAAAAAACCUUCGUUCAAAAAAAGAAAUUUACAAAUUUAAAAAUUAUAAAAAAUUUUAAAGAUCCAGAAAAUUCUGAUCAAAGAAAAAAGUUACCGCAGGGAUAACAGCGUUAUUCUCUUUAAGAGCUCUUAUUGACAAGAGAGUUUGCGACCUCGAUGUUGGACCGGGGCACCCAAGAGGUGUAGAAGCCUCUAAAGGUAGGUCUGUUCGACCUUUAAAGCCCUACGUGAU